GUGUGUGCAGUGUAGACUUUCACAGAGGGAGUCUCGGGUCAUCACUGUUUUUUUGUUUUUUUAGAGGAAGACUGAGAGGCUCAACAACACUCUCCGUCUCAGAUUCAUCCCUUCUCGUGUGUUCUGCAUCAGAUCAAAGCCAGAAGCUUCCUCCCUUCUCCUCCCCCCAUCCUCCCUCCCUCCCUCCAUCUCUGGGCUGUAAACACUAUCCAAGCAACGGCAGCCUUGAAGACACAAAGACAAGUAGCUACCUGACACCUGACACUAACUUUAGAGCACUCACCGUGGUCUACCUGAGGCAAUUGAAGGCCAACUCAGGUAUACUAAGCGGAAGCAAGUGAGACGCCGUGACUCGUCAGUGGCGGCAGCCUAGGUGUGUACUCUGGCUUUUCAUGUGAAACCACCUGAAAGCCAACAAAAGGUCCCUCUCCUUCCCUCCAUCCCUCCAUCCCUCCCCCCCCGUCCCUCUCUCUUCCUCUCUGCAUCUCACAGUACAAAGGAAAAGAAAUGAAUGAAAGAAAGGGAGCAGCGGCGGAAGGGGGAUGAG